rnacentral:rRNA from 1 species
AGAGUUUGAUCAUGGCUCAGAUUGAACGCUGGCGGCAGGCCUAACACAUGCAAGUCGAACGGUAACAGGAAGAAGCUUGCUUCUUUGCUGACGAGUGGCGGACGGGUGAGUAAUGUCUGGGAAACUGCCUGAUGGAGGGGGAUAACUACUGGAAACGGUAGCUAAUACCGCAUAACGUCGCAAGACCAAAGAGGGGGACCUUCGGGCCUCUUGCCAUCGGAUGUGCCCAGAUGGGAUUAGCUAGUAGGUGGGGUAACGGCUCACCUAGGCGACGAUCCCUAGCUGGUCUGAGAGGAUGACCAGCCACACUGGAACUGUGACACGGUCCAGACUCCUACGGGAGGCAGCAGUGGGGAAUAUUGCACAAUGGGCGCAAGCCUGAUGCAGCCAUGCCGCGUGUAUGAAGAAGGCCUUCGGGUUGUAAAGUACUUUCAGCGGGGAGGAAGGGAGUAAAGUUAAUACCUUUGCUCAUUGACGUUACCCGCAGAAGAAGCACCGGCUAACUCCGUGCCAGCAGCCGCGGUAAUACGGAGGGUGCAAGCGUUAAUCGGAAUUACUGGGCGUAAAGCGCACGCAGGCGGUUUGUUAAGUCAGAUGUGAAAUCCCCGGGCUCAACCUGGGAACUGCAUCUGAUACUGGCAAGCUUGAGUCUCGUAGAGGGGGGUAGAAUUCCAGGUGUAGCGGUGAAAUGCGUAGAGAUCUGGAGGAAUACCGGUGGCGAAGGCGGCCCCCUGGACGAAGACUGACGCUCAGGUGCGAAAGCGUGGGGAGCAAACAGGAUUAGAUACCCUGGUAGUCCACGCCGUAAACGAUGUCGACUUGGAGGUUGUGCCCUUGAGGCGUGGCUUCCGGAGCUAACGCGUUAAGUCGACCGCCUGGGGAGUACGGCCGCAAGGUUAAAACUCAAAUGAAUUGACGGGGGCCCGCACAAGCGGUGGAGCAUGUGGUUUAAUUCGAUGCAACGCGGAGAACCUUACCUGGUCUUGACAUCCACAGAACUUUCCAGAGAUGGAUUGGUGCCUUCGGGAACUGUGAGACAGGUGCUGCAUGGCUGUCGUCAGCUCGUGUUGUGAAAUGUUGGGUUAAGUCCCGCAACGAGCGCAACCCUUAUCUUUUGUUGCCAGCGGUCCGGCCGGGAACUCAAAGGAGACUGCCAGUGAUAAACUGGAGGAAGGUGGGGAUGACGUCAGGUCAUCAUGGCCCUUACGACCAGGGCUACACACGUGCUACAAUGGCGCAUACAAAGAGAAGCGACCUCGCGAGAGCAAGCGGACCUCAUAAAGUGCGUCGUAGUCCGGAUUGGAGUCUGCAACUCGACUCCAUGAAGUCGGAAUCGCUAGUAAUCGUGGAUCAGAAUGCCACGGUGAAUACGUUCCCGGGCCUUGUACACACCGCCCGUCACACCAUGGGAGUGGGUUGCAAAAGAAGUAGGUAGCUUAACCUUCGGGAGGGCGCUUACCACUUUGUGAUUCAUGACUGGGGUGAAGUCGUAACAAGGUAACCGUAGGGGAACCUGCGGUUG